rnacentral:SRP_RNA from 1 species
GCCGGGCACGGUGGCGCAUGCCUGUAGUCCCAGCUGCUCAGGAAGCUGAGGCAGGAGGAUCGCUUGAGCCUAGGAGCUCUGAGCUAUAAGUGCACUAUGCCAAUCGGGUGUCCGCACUAAGUUCGGCAUCAAUAUGGUGACCUCCAGGGAGCGAGGGACAACCAGGUUGCCUAACGAAGGGGUGAACAGGCCCAGGUUGGAAACGGAGCAGGUCUUGCUGAAUGAUCUCGGACAAGAUGCUUAACCGCUCCAAUCCUUGGUGCUCUCAUCUAUAAAAUGGUGGAGAUAAUAAUCCUCCC